UCGAACGAUGAAGCCUUCGGGUGGAUUAGUGGCGAACGGGUGAGUAACACGUGGGCAAUCUGCCCUGCACUCUGGGACAAGCCCUGGAAACGGGGUCUAAUACCGGAUAAUACUGUGCCCCUCAUGGGGGACGGUUGAAAGCUCCGGCGGUGCAGGAUGAGCCCGCGGCCUAUCAGCUUGUUGGUGGGGUAAUGGCCUACCAAGGCGACGACGGGUAGCCGGCCUGAGAGGGCGACCGGCCACACUGGGACUGAGACACGGCCCAGACUCCUACGGGAGGCAGCAGUGGGGAAUAUUGCACAAUGGGCGAAAGCCUGAUGCAGCGACGCCGCGUGAGGGAUGACGGCCUUCGGGUUGUAAACCUCUUUCAGCAGGGAAGAAGCGAAAGUGACGGUACCUGCAGAAGAAGCGCCGGCUAACUACGUGCCAGCAGCCGCGGUAAUACGUAGGGCGCAAGCGUUGUCCGGAAUUAUUGGGCGUAAAGAGCUCGUAGGCGGUCUGUCACGUCGGGUGUGAAAGCCCGGGGCUUAACCCCGGGUCUGCAUUCGAUACGGGCAGACUAGAGUGUGGUAGGGGAGAUCGGAAUUCCUGGUGUAGCGGUGAAAUGCGCAGAUAUCAGGAGGAACACCGGUGGCGAAGGCGGAUCUCUGGGCCAUUACUGACGCUGAGGAGCGAAAGCGUGGGGAGCGAACAGGAU
rnacentral:rRNA from 1 species